CCCUUAGAUGUUCGGGGCCGCACGCGCGCUACACUGAAGGAAUCAUCGUGUCUUAUCCUUGUCCGACAGGACCGGGUAACCCGUUGAACCUCCUUCGUGCUAGGGAUUGGGGCUUGUAAUUUUUCCCCAUGAACGAGGAAUUCCCAGUAAGCGCGAGUCAUCAGCUCGCGUUGAUUACGUCCCUGCCCUUUGUACACACCGCCCGUCGCUACUACCGAUUGAAUGGUUUAGUGAAAUCCUCGGAUCGGACCCGGCUUGGUGGGUUACCGCCGAGCUGUUGGCGCUGAGAAGAUGAUUGAACUUGAUCACUUGGAGGAAGUAAAAGUCGUAACA
rnacentral:rRNA from 1 species